GUGGGCUCUUUAGCAGCCCAGCUGUGUGUGACCUGUGACUGGGAGGCUUUUCCCAGUGGACAAGGGCACAGUCAGGGACUACAUCCGCCAGCUGCCUCCCGUGACUCUGCCUGUGCCCAAACAGUGAGAGUGUCAUCUCCGAUGUAUUGCCAGGCAACCAAGUGUGCCAGGGCCUGGGUGUGUCCCCUAAUGCUGUCUUGAGUUCAGCAGCCCAGGCCGGCCUGCUUGCUAUGCCGGUGUCUCUAGCUGGCCAUGCCCUCUUGAGACGGCAUGCUCCCUCGUUCAUUCCUCCUGCCCCAGUACUAAGGAUGGAAGCCAAGGUCUUGUGCAAGCUAGAGGCACACACCACCACUGAGCCACACCUCCAGCCAGCAACAGCCUUGGGUUCAAUCCCUCUGCUACCUCAGGAGGCUGGUGCUAGAACUGGAAGCUUCCUUUUGGCCUGGAGGCCAGCCCUCCUUGAAUCUGAGAGUUGGACUAUGGAGGACCGACUUUAGUGAAAAGAAUGCAUUCUCACAGGGAUGUCUGGAUGAGGGAGUACAAUCCAACCCUUCUUUUAAUUUGCCUGAGGAGGUUUUUUCAUCCACAGUGUUUGGUGAUUUUGUCCUGUUUUUAGGAAUUUUAAAACUUUGGACAGUGAAAGCACCAUCUGAAAUCGUCAGAGAACUUUCCGGUUCCCCUGGAGAUUUGUUCUAUGUCGAUUUUUUUGUGUUUAUUUAUGUAUACCUUUAAUUAUUUAAUAUGUAUAUUUUGCCUGCAGUGCCCAAGGGGGCCAGAAGAGGGCGUCGGAUCCCCUGGAACUGGAGUUACAGACAAUUGUCCGCCUUGGCUACGUAGCCAGUUUGGGGCCAGAAUGGGCUGCAUGAGAUCCUGUCUCAAAUGAGUAGCCCGGAGGUACAGCUAGGUGCUGCAGAGCCUGUCCUAGGUUCGAUAUCCAGCAAUGAGAAAACAAGACGACUCAGCCAGAAACCGGAUAAGGGCGCGCGCUUACCACCGUGCCUGACCGCAUUGUAUGUGUCUGCAGGAAAACACACACACACCAGUGUGUGCAGUGCAUGGAGGUCAGACGAGGGCGUCGGAGCUCUACGCACCCGUGGAAGCAAGCCAGAGGACAACUUGAUGGACUAUAAACUUCUUCUUCCAUCAUGUGGAUCUGCAAGCUGGAACUCAGGUUAUCAAGCUUGGUGGCAUGUGUGCCCAUCUCACUGAACCUCUAACUUUUUCUAAAUUAAUUAACUUUUUCUGAUGGAAUAUGCUGUAUAGACCAUGCUGGCUUUGAACUCAUCAAGAUCUGCCUGUUUCUGCCUCCUGAAUGCUGGGAUGCUGGAAUGCCUCACUACAGUCGUUCAUAUUUAUUUUGAGCCAAACUGCCACCAUAUUGGCCUGCUUGGCCUGGAACUAAGAGACCUGACUCUGCUUCUCGGGUAUUUGGAUUAAGACAGAAAUCACUAUACCAGCUAAUUUUACACCCCCACCCCCACCCCGCCCCAACAGGGUUUCUCUGUAACUUUGGAGGCUGUCCUGGAACUCACUCUGUAGACCAGGCUGGUCUCAAACUCACAGAGAUCCGCCUGCCUCUGCCUUCCAAGUGCUGGGAUUAAAGGCGUGUGCCACCACCGCUCGGCCUAAUUUUAUAUUUUAAAGAUAUGUUUUUUUUUAAUGUGCAUGGGUGUUUUGCCUGUGCAUGUAUCUAUGCACCACUGUCUUGCCUGGUGCCUACGGAGAUUGAACAGAAGGGAGCCUCGGAGCCCCUGAAACUAGUAACAGAUAGUUGUGAGCCAUCCUGUAGGUGCUGAGGAUUGAAAUCGGGUCCUCUGCAUAGCAACAAGUGCUCUUAACCUCGGCGCCACUUCUCCAGACCGCUGUUCUUUACUUUUUAGAGCAUUUCUGUAGCCAAGGGUUGAUUGACCCUGAACUCCUGACCCUCUUGCCUGCACUGACAGAAAGAGUACCAACGGGUUUUAUUUUUAAAAUGGCUUGUCACCCCGCCCCCCAUGAAAGUCUCUUUAACUGAAACUACUUUUUUAUUCCUCAAAG
ensembl:lncRNA